UACAUGGGGUGCAAACGUUGCUCGGAAUUAUUGGGCGUAAAGCGCACGUAGGCGGUUCGUUAAGUCGGAUGUGAAAGCCCUCGGCUCAACUGAGGAAGUGCACCCGAAACUGGCGAGCUUGAGUACGAAAGAGGAUCGCGGAAUUCCCGGUGUAGAGGUGAAAUUCGUAGAUAUCGGGAGGAACACCGGUGGCGAAGGCGGUGAUCUGGGUCGAUACUGACGCUGAGGUGCGAAAGCGUGGGGAGCAAACAGG
rnacentral:rRNA from 1 species